rnacentral:rRNA from 1 species
GCUAAUAGCCAGCAUGUUGGCCUCUUGUAUUCAAUCUUGACAGACGCUAAGCAGGGUGGGCCUGGUUAGUACUUGGAUGGGAGGUCACUUGGGAAUGCCAGAUGCUACAGGCU